UUGCACCAUUUCUAGUUCCUUCUACCCGUUUCCCCUGGAAAUUCUUGUUUUUAACUCACGGCUAAUUCUUGAUUGUGAAGUUGUUUAUUCCAUGUGAACUACUUCCUGUAAGUGACAACACUUUAGUACGACUCUCGUCACACUCGCUGAGGGAAAAUGAGAUGUGACGGUGUGGUAGACUCAAUAAGUGUGACUGAGCUACGAGCAGCAUGGAGAAUGUUUGGAGGCUUACACACACAAUACACUCUUUAAACUCAAUGUGCUGACCUUUACGUAUGUUCCACUACUGUAAGUAGAGUCAUGUUGUGUUUGUAUGUGUAACUCAGAUGGACUGGCCAUGUAGUCCGCAUGCCUGACUCUCACCUCCCAAAACAAGUCCUUUAUUCCCAGCUUGUUGAAGGGAAACGGGCCCCGGGAGGUCAAAAGAAGAGAUUUAAGGAUAACAUCAAGGCAAACCUGACAAAGUGUCGCAUAGACCUUAAGUCUUGGGAAGUCAAGGCAACAGACAGGACGAUGUGGAGAAACCUUGUCCGUGAGGGUGCCGCGCAAUAUAAUGACGACCUCCGCCAUGCUGCACAAGACAAGCGCAGACUUAGAAAGGAGAGAGUAUCCACCAAACAGGCCCAACCCAAACCCACCACCACUACAUUCCCUUGUCCACAUUGCCCCAGAAUAAUCGGGUCCAGAAUCGGCCUCCACGCCCACCUGAAGACCCACAAGGACCAGGAAGGAGGACAGUCAUACUCGACCACGAGUGACCGCCGAUGAUGAUGAUGCGCCGCUGAGAGCACCGCUAAACACGCCCCUACAGCCCUGCACGGUUGCAGACUAUCAGUGAUCAACGCACCUGUUCCUGAUGAGACUCCACACCGUAGGAGCCAGCGUGUCCUGAAAUCUAGUGCUAGAACGUAGAUCUCUGUCUCACAUAUUCCUUCCGUAUCCUUGGUUUGAUCUGUGCGCCUUGCUUCCCUGGACUCCCCCCCCCCCCCCUGGAUUUUGACUGCCUCCGUGGAUCCUCAACCCCUGCUUGGACACGGACCUCUCGCAUGCUUCACGGACUUCCCUCCAGCUUCGCCCCACUGGACUUCUGGACUUCUCAUUCAACACGCAAAUACAACAAACCCCUGUGCUUUGAGGUGGGGGAGGCAUCCACAGCAGGACCCGCUGCUCGUUGAGAAGAGCAGAACCAUCCAUCCAUCUUCUUCCGCUUCUCCGAAAAUGCAUCUUACCUCACAACUCCUGACGUGUUCCUCAGGACGGAGGCGGCAAAACUCUGCGUGACUCCCACCAGGCUGGUGCCAUCCACCUCCACUAUCUGGUCGUUCACUCUGAUCCUAACACAUGGACAUCAAAAUCACUGAAGCAGCUGAUCCAAAACUUCUUUGAAACUAGGAGACAGAGGAAAUGAGGCGCGUGGAGGUCUAACAAAGACACCGAGCCACAACACAGCUGGCAUUUCUUCUCCACUCUGGACAGACUAGAUGAACACCACUAUUCCUAGCAAC